CACACAGGGUCCUGAGCAAGGAGCCCUGCCUCCAAUUCACCUCCCAGGACCCAGCCACUACUACCUCUCCUUGAAUUUCUGUAACAGCCUCCCAGACGCUCUCCCUGACUCCACUUUGCCCUCCGUGGACAAUGCCACCUUUACAAAGGCCAGGAUUUUGUCCUGGUUUGCUCACUGCUGCCUCCCCAGCACCUAGAUCAGUGGCUGACACAUGAAGGUGUCCAAUAAAUACUUGUUGGAUGAAUAAAUGAAUGACAAGUUCUUCCACAUACAGCGCCACCAAGACAACAAAACCAAAACCCAUGAACAACAUCUACUGAAGAAAACUAAGUAAAGGUAGCCCUAUAAACUCCAAACCAUUAAAUAUUUAAGAGCUACCAAAUCUAUGCAGCAUCUGUGUAGGAAAAAGCACAAGGAAACUCUGGGUUAUUGAAUGGAUUGACUUGAGGACAGAAGAAUCCCCAAAUCCUGACUCUGACCAGGAAGUGGGCAGGUCAACUUGAAACAAUUGAAUCUGCAACAGACUUUUUUA